rnacentral:rRNA from 1 species
AGAGUUUGAUCCUGGCUCAGGAUGAACGCUAGCUACAGGCUUAACACAUGCAAGUCGAGGGGCAGCGGGUUGAAAGCUUGCUUUCAAUGCCGGCGACCGGCGCACGGGUGCGUAACGCGUAUCAAACCUGCCUCAUACUCGGGGAUAGCCUUGCGAAAGUAAGAUUAAUACCCGAUGUUGUUGCUUUCUCGCAUGGGAGAGUAACCAAAGAUUUAUCGGUAUGAGAUGGUGAUGCGUCCGAUUAGGUAGUAGGCGGGGUAACGGCCCACCUAGCCUUCGAUCGGUAGGGGUUCUGAGAGGAAGGUCCCCCACACUGGAACUGAGACACGGUCCAGACUCCUACGGGAGGCAGCAGUGAGGAAUAUUGGUCAAUGGGCGAGAGCCUGAACCAGCCAAGUAGCGUGCAGGAUGACGGCCCUAUGGGUUGUAAACUGCUUUUGUAUGGGGAUAAAGUUAGGGACGUGUCCCUAUUUGCAGGUACCAUACGAAUAAGGACCGGCUAAUUCCGUGCCAGCAGCCGCGGUAAUACGGAAGGUCCAGGCGUUAUCCGGAUUUAUUGGGUUUAAAGGGAGCGUAGGCGGAUUGUUAAGUCAGCGGUUAAAGGGUGUGGCUCAACCAUGCAUUGCCGUUGAAACUGGCGAUCUUGAGUGCAGACAGGGAUGCCGGAAUUCGUGGUGUAGCGGUGAAAUGCUUAGAUAUCACGAAGAACUCCGAUCGCGAAGGCAGGUGUCCGGGCUGCAACUGACGCUGAGGCUCGAAAGUGUGGGUAUCAAACAGGAUUAGAUACCCUGGUAGUCCACACAGUAAACGAUGUAUACUCGCGGUUUGCGAUAGAUUGUAAGCCGCCAAGCGAAAGCAUUAAGUAUACCACCUGGGGAGUACGCCGGCAACGGUGAAACUCAAAGGAAUUGACGGGGGCCCG